rnacentral:rRNA from 1 species
CAGUCGCCGCGGUAAUACGAAGGGUGCAAGCGUUAAUCGGAAUUACUGGGCGUAAAGCGUGCGUAGGCGGUUUGCUAAGACAGAUGUGAAAUCCCCGGGCUCAACCUGGGAACUGCAUUUGUGACUGGCAGGCUAGAGUAUGGCAGAUGGGGGUGGAAUUCCGCGUGUAGCAGUGAAAUGCGUAGAUAUGCGGAGGAACACCGAUGGCGAAGGCAGCCCCCUGGGCCAAUACUGACGCUCAUGCACGAAAGCGUGGGGAGCAAACAGGAUUAGAUACCCCCGUAGUCCCUGUCUCUUAUAC